AAACAUCGCCUCCUGCCACCACUCAUUAUAGGAGGUCCCGCCUGCCCUGUGACCAAAAGUUUAACGGCCGCGGUAUUUUAACCGUGCAAAGGUAGCGCAAUCAAUUGUCUUUUAAAUGGAGACCUGUAUGAAUGGCAUAACGAGGGUUUAACUGUCUCUUUUUCCUAGUCAAUGAAACUGAUCUGCCCGUGCAGAAGCGGGUAUACACACACAAGACGAGAAGACCCUAUGGAGCUUUAGACGCCGACCAGCUACGAAAAGCGACCACUGACUGGAUCCUCAAACAACGUAAUUAUGGCACAAACGUCUUCGGUUGGGGCGACCACGGGAGAUAAUAAAGCUCCCGAGUGGAUAGGGGGAUACCCUAAAACCCAGAGCCACAGCUCUAAGUCACAAAAUAUUUGACCAAUAAUGAUCCGGCUUUAUGCCGACCAACGGACCAAGUUACCCUAGGGAUAACAGCGCAAUCCCCUCCCAGAGUCCAUAUCGACGAGGGGGUUUACGACCUCGAUGUUGGAUCAGGACAUCCUAAUGGUGCAGCCGCUAUUAAGGGUUCGUUUGUUCAACGAUUAA
rnacentral:rRNA from 1 species